GAGACGCUAAGAGGGAGGGCGAAACUGAUACAAACAAGCUGCCCCCUUUCCUAAGUGCGGAUGCUGCCAGCCUCCAGGGCCAAGAAGCGGAAGCUCGGUGGAGGGAAAUGAGACCGCACAGCCACGAGACCGUUAAGUGUUCCCAGAACACACGAUGCUCCCAAAUAAAUGUGUCUCCAACAUUAUAACACCACAAUA